rnacentral:rRNA from 1 species
AGAGUUUGAUCCUGGCUCAGAACGAACGCUGGCGGCAGGCUUAACACAUGCAAGUCGAGCGGGCCCUUCGGGGUCAGCGGCGGACGGGUGAGUAACGCGUGGGAACGUGCCCUCUUCUCCGGAAUAGCCUCGGGAAACUGAGAUUAAUGCCGGAUACGCCCUUUUGGGGAAAGAUUUAUCGGAGGAGGAUCGGCCCGCGUUGGAUUAGGUAGUUGGUGGGGUAAUGGCCUACCAAGCCGACGAUCCAUAGCUGGUUUGAGAGGAUGAUCAGCCACACUGGGACUGAGACACGGCCCAGACUCCUACGGGAGGCAGCAGUGGGGAAUCUUGGACAAUGGGGGCAACCCUGAUCCAGCCAUGCCGCGUGAGCGAUGAAGGCCUUAGGGUUGUAAAGCUCUUUCAGCGGGGAAGAUAAUGACGGUACCCGCAGAAGAAGCCCCGGCUAACUCCGUGCCAGCAGCCGCGGUAAU